UACGUAGGGCGCGAGCGUUGUCCGGAAUUAUUGGGCGUAAAGAGCUCGUAGGCGGCCUGUUGCGUCCGCUGUGAAAACCCGGGGCUCAACCCCGGGCGUGCAUUCGAUACUGCGCGGCUCGAGACAGGUAGGGGAGAUCGGAAUUCCUGGUGUAGCGGUGAAAUGCGCAGAUAUCAGGAGGAACACCGGUGGCGAAGGCGGAUCUCUGGGCCUGUUCUGACGCUGAGGCGCGAAAGCUAGGGGAGCGAACAGG
rnacentral:rRNA from 1 species